rnacentral:rRNA from 1 species
UACGGAGGGUGCGAGCGUUGUCCGGAUUUAUUGGGUUUAAAGGGUGCGUAGGCGGCCUGUUAAGUCCGGGGUGAAAGCCCACUGCUCAACAGUGGAACGGCCCUGGAUACUGGCAGGCUUGAAUCCAGUCGAGGGUGGCGGAAUGGAGGCUGUAGCGGUGAAAUGCAUAGAUAGCCUCCAGAACACCGAUUGCGAAGGCAGCUGCCUAGACUGGUAUUGACGCUCAGGCACGAAAGCGUGGGGAGCGAACAGG